GAGUUUGAUCAUGGCUCAGGAUGAACGCUGACAGAAUGCUUAACACAUGCAAGUCAACUUGAAUUUGGGUUUUUAACUUAGAUUUGGGUGGCGGACGGGUGAGUAACGCGUAAAGAACUUGCCUCACAGCUAGGGACAACAUUUAGAAAUGAAUGCUAAUACCUGAUAUUAUGAUUUUAAGGCAUCUUAGAAUUAUGAAAGCUAUAAGCACUGUGAGAGAGCUUUGCGUCCCAUUAGCUAGUUGGAGAGGUAACAGCUCACCAAGGCGAUGAUGGGUAGCCGGCCUGAGAGGGUGAACGGCCACAAGGGGACUGAGACACGGCCCUUACUCCUACGGGAGGCAGCAGUGGGGAAUAUUGGACAAUGGACCGAGAGUCUGAUCCAGCAAUUCUGUGUGCACGAUGAAGUUUUUCGGAAUGUAAAGUGCUUUCAGUUGGGAAGAAACAAAUGACGGUACCAACAGAAGAAGUGACGGCUAAAUACGUGCCAGCAGCCGCGGUAAUACGUAUGUCACGAGCGUUAUCCGGAUUUAUUGGGCGUAAAGCGCGUCUAGGUGGUUAUGUAAGUCUGAUGUGAAAAUGCAGGGCUCAACUCUGUAUUGCGUUGGAAACUGUAUAACUAGAGUACUGGAGAGGUAAGCGGAACUACAAGUGUAGAGGUGAAAUUCGUAGAUAUUUGUAGGAAUGCCGAUGGGGAAGCCAGCUUACUGGACAGAUACUGACGCUAAAGCGCGAAAGCGUGGGUAGCAAACAGGAUUAGAUACCCUGGUAGUCCACGCUGUAAACGAUGAUUACUAGGUGUUGGGGGUCGAACCUCAGCGCCCAAGCAAACGCGAUAAGUAAUCCGCCUGGGGAGUACGUACGCAAGUAUGAAACUCAAAGGAAUUGACGGGGACCCGCACAAGCGGUGGAGCAUGUGGUUUAAUUCGACGCAAACGCGAGGAACCUUACCAGCGUUUGACAUCUUAGGAAUGAGAUAGAGAUAUUUCAGUGUCCCUUCGGGGAAACCUAAAGACAGGUGGUGCAUGGCUGUCGUCAGCUCGUGUCGUGAGAUGUUGGGUUAAAGUCCCGCAACGAGCGCGAACCCCUUUCGUAUGUUACCAUCAUUAAAGUUGGGGACUCAUGCGAUACUGCCUACGAUGAGUAGGAGGAAGGUGGGGAUGACGUCGAAGUCAUCGUGCCCCUUAUACGCUGGGCUACGCGCGUGCUACGAUGGGUAGAACGAGAAGAAGGUU
rnacentral:rRNA from 1 species